rnacentral:rRNA from 1 species
UACGUAGGGGGCUAGCGUUGUCCGGAAUCAUUGGGCGUAAAGAGCGUGUAGGCGGUCCGGUAAGUCCGUUGUGAAAGUCAGGGGCUCAACCCUUGAAUGCCGGCGGAUACUGUCGGGCUAGAGUCCGGAAGAGGAGAGUGGAAUUCCUGGUGUAGCGGUGAAAUGCGCAGAUAUCAGGAAGAACACCCGUGGCGAAGGCGGCUCUCUGGGACGGUACUGACGCUGAGACGCGAAAGCGUGGGGAGCGAACAGG